ACGGGGAGCACCACAACAGGUGGAGCCUGCGGUUUAAUCGGACUCAACGCCGGGAAACUCACCAGAUAAGACAGCUGAAUGAUAGUCGGGCUGAAGACUCUACUUGACUAGCUGAGAGGAGGUGCAUGGCCGUCGUCGGUUCGUACUGUGAAGCAUCCUGUUAAGUCAGGCAACGAGCGAGACCCACGCCAACAGUUGCCAGCUCGUCCUCCGGGAUGGUGGGGACACUGUUGGGACCGCCUCUGCUAAAGAGGAGGAAGGAAUGGGCAACGGUAGGUCAGCAUGCCCCGAAUUAUCUGGGCUACACGCGGGCUACAAUGGGUGGGACAAUGGGUAUCGACACCGAAAGGUGAAGGCAAUCUCCUAAACCCAUCCGUAGUUCGGAUUGUGGGCUGCAACUCGCCCACAUGAAGCUGGAAUCUGUAGUAAUCGUGUCUCAAAAUGGCACGGUGAAUAUGUCCCUGCUCCUU
rnacentral:rRNA from 1 species